UACGAAGGGGGCUAGCGUUGCUCGGAAUCACUGGGCGUAAAGCGCACGUAGGCGGGUCGUUAAGUCGGGGGUGAAAUCCUGGAGCUCAACUCCAGAACUGCCUUCGAUACUGGCGAUCUUGAGUCUGGGAGAGGUGAGUGGAACUCCGAGUGUAGAGGUGAAAUUCGUAGAUAUUCGCAAGAACACCAGUGGCGAAGGCGGCUCACUGGCCCGAUACUGACGCUGAGGUGCGAAAGCGUGGGGAGCAAACAGG
rnacentral:rRNA from 1 species